GUUUGUUCUAAUCAAAUAUUUUCUGGGUUUUCUAUAUUGAAUCGUUCUUAAUCUGUUCCAAGAGACCCGUCGACUGCUCGUGCUUUGGAGUCUACGCAGGGUUAGCUGUUUGCCAAGAUUCACGUGGAUAAGCAAGCAGUUUAUGAUUUGAAAGCUGGUCCACUCCGAAUCUUUAUUCCUCGGAGGUUUAUUUUCUUUUAAUAAAUUGUCAAACUACCUUUUUCUUAGA